AAAAACCAUUAAAUAUUCACGAUAUUCACUUUAAUCAUCAAAUCAUGCAGCCGACCAUAAUAUAAUCUAAUUACACCAUCUGUGAGCAGCAGUGUUCUGUCACUAGAGUAGAUAUUUUCCUCGCCCUAAUUUUUAUGUCAUAGGAAAUAUUGUUUUUAAAAAUGAAUAUAUAAAUCAAUACUGCGAUAAAAUUAUAACACACUAGUUCUAAUAAAAUUACAGAAUUUCCACAUA